rnacentral:rRNA from 1 species
UACGGAGGGGGCUAGCGUUGUUCGGAGUUAUUGGGCGUAAAGCGCGCGCAGGCGGCCUCGCGCGCCCGACGUGAAAGCCCCCGGCUUAACCGGGGAGGGUCGUUGGGGACGGCGGGGCUUGAGGGCGGGAGAGGGCGGUGGAAUUCCCGGUGUAGUGGUGAAAUGCGUAGAGAUCGGGAGGAACACCUGUGGCGAAGGCGGCCGUCUGGGCCGACCCUGACGCUGAGGCGCGAAGGCGUGGGGAGCGAACGGG